rnacentral:tRNA from 1 species
GAAAGCCCAGUUGGUUAGAGCGUGGUGCUGAUAAUGACAAGGUUGCAGGUUCGAUCCCCGUAUGGGACA